AUGGCAAAGAGUCUCGCAGUGGCCCUCCUUCUACUGGUGGUGCUCGCGCACUGCGACGGGAGGGAGCUGAGCGCCAAGGACCACGCACUUGAAGGUUCCGGUGCCGGUGCCGGUGGCGUCCAAGAGUCCAAGGCGUCAGGGUCGCCAGGCUUGCCGAUUGUGGGAACGACACCUACGGGCACCAGUACCAUUAACGGCCCGCUGGUGGUGAUUCCUGGGGUCCCAGUUCACCAAUGA
rnacentral:rRNA from 1 species